rnacentral:rRNA from 1 species
AGUGAAUAGAUACCCUGGUAGUCCACGCCCUAAACGAUGCACACUAGACCGGUGCGGCUCUGACGCCGUAUUGGUCGUAGAGAAAUUGCUAAGUGUGCCGCCUGGGGAGUACGGUCGCAAGGCUAAAACUCAAAGAAAUUGACGGGGGCUCACACAAGCGGUGGAGCAUGUUGCUUAAUUCGAAGCAACGCGAAGAACCUUACCCGGGUUUGACAUGCACGGAUUAGUUGGCGGAAACGUCAAUGAGGCUCGCAAGAGUACAACGUGCACAGGUGCUGCAUGGCUGUCGUCAGCUCGUGCUGUGAAGUGUUUGGUUAAGUCCAUUAACGAGCGCAACCCUUGUCGCUAGUUGCCAACAGGUAAUGCUGGGGACUCUAGCGAGACUGCCGUUGUAAAACGGAGGAAGGUGGGGAUGACGUCAAGUCCUCAUGGCCCUUACAUCCGGGGUUGCAAACGUGCUACAAUGGCGCGCACAAAGCGACGCAAGGCCGCGAGGCGGAGCAAAUCGCAAAAAACGCGCCCCAGUUC